CGCCGGAGCAAUGGGUAGAGAGACACGUUGGUGGUGGUGUUGUUCUCCCAUCAGUCAGGGGCAGAGCACACGUCAGCUGUUUGUUCAUCCUUGACGCUUGGCUUGGUGGCCAAAGCUGUUUCAUGCCUAGGACUCAUAA